rnacentral:rRNA from 1 species
CCUACGGGAGGCAGCAGUGGGGAAUAUUGCACAAUGGGGGAAACCCUGAUGCAGCAACGCCGCGUGAGUGAUGACGGCCUUCGGGUUGUAAAGCUCUGUCUUCGGGGACGAUAAUGACGGUACCGGAGGAGGAAGCCACGGCUAACUACGUGCCAGCAGCCGCGGUAAU